rnacentral:tRNA from 1 species
AGCGAGAUGGCCGAGCGGUCUAAGCCGCUGGUUUAAGGCACCAGUCUCUUCGGGGGCGUGGGUUCGAACAAAACGUAUGACGAGAGUGCGGUUCCCACUCUCGUCA